CCCUUAGAUGUUCUGGGCUGCACGCGUGCUACACUGAUAUUGCCAAUAUGUCAUUCUUAUCCGAAAUGGAUUGGGUAAUCAAGUAAUGAAAUUUCGUGCUUGGAAUCGGUAAUUGCAAUUUUAUCGUGAACGAGGAAUUCCUAGUAAGCACUAGUCAUCAGCUAAUGUUGAUUAUGUCCCUGCCCUUUGUACACACCGCCCGUCGCUACUACUGAUUGGGUGUUCAAGUGAGAUGCUUAGACCCUUGUUGCAUGGUUCAUUAUUGUGCUCCGAAAGGAAAAAGUUUCAAGCUUGAGUGUCUAGAGGAAGUAAAAGUCGUAACA
rnacentral:rRNA from 1 species